AGCUCCAAUAGCGUAUAUUAAAGUUGUUGCGGUUAAAAAGCUCGUAGUUGGAUUUCUGUCGAGGACGGUCGGUCCACACUUUGUGUGAGUAUCUGAUUCGGCCUUGGCAUCCUCCUGGGGUACGUUUCUGCGCUUGAUUGCGUGGAGCGGAAUUCAGGACUUUUACUUUGAGGAAAUUAGAGUGUUCACGGCAGGCAAACGCCUUGAAUAUAUUAGCAUGGAAUAAUAAUAUAGGACCUUUGUUCUAUUUUGUUGGUUUCUAGAGCGAAGGUAAUGAUUAAUAGGGAUAAUUGGGGGCAUUUGUAUUAACGCGUCAGAGGUGGAAUUCUUGGAUUGCGUUACGACAAACUACUGCGAAAGCAUUUGCCAAGGAUGUUUUCA
rnacentral:rRNA from 1 species